rnacentral:rRNA from 1 species
ACAGGCUGCGGCAUGUCCGCACGCUGUGGUUGUGGGCUGGAGCGGUCAACGCAGGGAGCAAUGGCGGCCCCGUCGUGGCUGCUCCUGCUCUGUCUCACCGGCGGCGUGCUUCGUGCCGGCGCCCAAAGAGCGCCCGACACCACGGGUUUCAUCAGCGUCGACUGCGGCCUCUCGGAGCACAGCAGCUACGUGGACGACGCCACCAAGCUGCCCUACAGCUCGGACGCCGACUUCACCGACGCCGGCCAGAACUACAACGUCUCGGCACAGUACAACGACCAGGCCUUCCUCAGACGCCACCGGCAGCUCCUCACCGUCCGCAGCUUCCCUGGCCCGCCGGGGCGGCGGGGCUGCUACACCCUCCCGUCCUUCGAGGCCGGGACGUCCAAGUACCUGGUCCGGGCCACCUUCAUGUACGGCAACUACGACGAGCUCAACAAGCCCCCGGUGUUCGACCUCUACCUUGGCGUCAACUUCUGGAAGACGGUGAACAUCUCUAGGCCUGACGCGGUGCACACCGCCGAGAUCAUCUCCGUCAUCCCGGUUGACGCGGUGCAUGUCUGCGUGGUGAACACCAACUCCGGGACGCCCUUCAUCUCGUCGCUGGAGCUGAGGCCUCUCGAGGACACGAUGUAUCCGCUGGUGAACUGGACGCAGGGGCUGCUCCUCAUUGGCAGGCGCAACUUCGGCGCCACUGAGUCGAUUAGGUACCCGGAUGAUCCAUACGACCGUGCAUGGGUCCCGUGGACCAACCUGAAAGAGUGGCUUAGCAUCUCAUCAUCGGAUUUCGUCCUCAUGAAGUUGGGGGACAAACCCCUCUAUGAUGUGCCAUCUGUUGUGUUGCAGACCGCCGUCACGACACUCAACACCUCGCAGACCCUCAUCCGGAUCCCAUGGGAUGCCGAGCCCAACCACAUAUACCCCAGGCCUGGGCUCCUACCUAUUCUGUACUUCUCGGAGCUACAGGUCUUGGACGGCACCCACGACCGCCUAUUCUUCCUCGGCGUCGGCAAAGCCGAGUAUUGGUGGGGAAGCAUGGGAAAAGUGGAGAGAUACAUCACAGAAGUGUUCCACGUAGAUGAACCCUCCCCAUUCCUCAGUCCGCAGGAGAACUACAUCAAAUUGAAUGCCACCAAUCGCACAGCAAUCAGGGAAAUUCACGGCAUCAACGCUACGUCUACAAUACUACCGCCCUUCAUCAAUGCUGCCGAGCUUUUCUCCCCCAUUUCCACAGCUAGUGUCGGCACCGACGCUCAAGAUGUAUCUGCCAUCACUGCAAUCAAGGCUAAGUAUCAGGUGAAGAACAAUUGGGUGGGUGAC